GGCCAUGAUCCGCAGGCAGGCAGGCCACUCUGCCACCACAGGGUCCAUUUUUUUGGACAGAUAAGCUACUGCCCUUUUAAUGGAGCCGCCAUCUCAGUGAAUUGAGAUAUCCAUAGGCGACAGAAACCUGCGGUGCCCAAACACACUCUUACUUGUUUUUGGUUGGUUGACUGCAGAAUAUGGAACAGUUUCUUUUCUAGCCUCCUACAGACACCUCUUUCCCUUUUUAAGCAGAUACUCCAGGUGCCAUUCAAGUCCCUGAUCGAUUGUCAUGUGGGCCGGGAAAAACUGGCACCUGAACAGGGAACCCAGCGUAUCACAGAGGAGAGAACGCUGCUCAUCAUUAGAGCAUAGGCCUGCCCGCUCAUUUACAGAAGCACCUGUGAGCAGCUUUGGUUCUACAUAACCCCACAGUCCAACCCGCCAUGAGACAGUCUUGGAGUUCAUAGCGUGCUGCAGAUCUUAAGGUAUUUAAGUGUGCUUAUAUAUUCUUCUACUGAAUGAAUCUCAUCCACAAUGAAAGACACCAGGCAAGUAAUAACAGUGAAGAUAAAACCUCAUGACUUGAUAUAAAAGAACUGUCCUGUAAAACACUGUCAUAAUGUCAUCAGGAGAAAUACCCGAUGAGCAUGUCAGAAGAUACUGAAGCCAAAAACCCUUUGUUAGAUGUAAAUGCAUUUCAUUGUAAAAUUUGUUGCACCAUUUUCCUUUGCCUUCAUUAAAAUCAAAGGACUCUUUCAA